AGCGAACGCUGGCGGCAGGCUUAACACAUGCAAGUCGAGCGCCGUAGCAAUACGGAGCGGCAGACGGGUGAGUAACACGUGGGAACGUGCCUUCUGGUUCGGAAUAACUCAGGGAAACUUGAGCUAAUACCGGAUAAGCCCUUCGGGGGAAAGAUUUAUCGCCGGAAGAUCGGCCCGCGUAAGAUUAGCUAGUUGGUGAGGUAAUGGCUCACCAAGGCUACGAUCUUUAGCUGGUCUGGGAGGAUGAUCAGCCACACUGGGACUGAGACACGGCCCAGACUCCUACGGGAGGCAGCAGUGGGGAAUAUUGGACAAUGGGCGCAAGCCUGAUCCAGCCAUGCCGCGUGAGUGAUGAAGGCCUUAGGGUUGUAAAGCUCUUUUAGCAGGGACGAUAAUGACGGUACCUGCAGAAAAAGCCCCGGCCAACUUCGUGCCAGCAGCCGCAGUAA
rnacentral:rRNA from 1 species